GGUCAAGCUACUAAGGGCAAACGGUGGAUGCCUUGGGACUUCGAGGCGAUGAAGGACGUGGAAAGCUGCGAUAAGCGACGGUGAGAAGCACUCAUUCGAUGAACCGUCGAUUUCCGAAUGGGGGAACCCAAUAACUGCUGCCUGAAUACAUAGGGCAGUUAGAGCAAACUCAGGGAAGUGAACCAUCUCAGUACCUGAAGGAAAAGAAAACAAUAGUGAUUCUGCUAGUAGCGGCGAGCGAACGCGGAAAAGCCUAAACCGAUAGGACUUGUCCUGUCGGGGUCGUGGGAUCAGACAUAACGGGAGAAGAAGAUUAACAAAAGUGUAUGGAAAAGCACACCAUAGAGCGUGAUAGUCGCGUAUGUGAAAAUUUUCGACUUCCAGUUUGACACCCGAGUAAUGCGGAACACGAGGAAUUCUGCAUGAAUUUGCCGGGACCAUCCGGUAAGGCUAAAUACUCCGAAGUCACCGAUAGUGAACCAGUACCGUGAGGGAAAGGUGAAAAGAACCCCAGUGAGGGGAGUGAAAUAGUACCUGAAACCGUUUGCUUACAAGCAGUAGGAGGAGCGCAAGUUCUGACUAUGUGCCUUUUGCAUAAUGAGCCGGCUAGUAAAUGUCACAGGCAAGGUUAAACGAUAAGUAAGCCGAAGCGAAAGCGAGUCUUAAUAGGGCGCUUAGUCUGUGGUAUUUGGACGUGAAACGGGAUGAUCUAGGCAUGGGCAGGUUGAAGCGUGGGUAACACCACGUGGAGGACCGAACCAGUAUAGGUUGAAAACUGUUUGGAUGACCUGUGCCUAGGGGUGAAAGGCUAAUCAAAUUCCGUGAUAGCUCGUUCUCGCCGAAAUAGCUUUAGGGCUAGCCUCGGAUUUAUCUUUGCGGUGGUAAAGCACUGAAUGGACUAGGGGCCUCACAAGGUUACCGAAUUCAAUCAAACUCUGAAUGCCGUAAAUGAAUGUCCGGGAGUCAGACUACGGGUGCUAAGAUUCGUGGUCGAGAGGGAAAGAGCCCAGACCAACAGCUAAGGUCCCAAAAUUAUAGUUAAGUGGAAAAGGACGUGGGGAAGCACUGACAGCCAGGAGGUUUGCUUAGAAGCAGCAAUCCUUUAAAGAAAGCGUAAUAGCUCACUGGUCAAGUAGCCCUGCACCGACAAUUUAACGGGGCUCAAACUAUAUACCGAAGCUUUGGAUAUUUUUAAUAUGGUAGGCGAGCAUUCUGUAGCUGUGAAGCGGUUCCGUAAGGUCCGUUGGAGCAAUCAGAAAAGACUUUGUCGGCAUUAGUAGCGAUAACGUAUGUGAGAACCAUACGCACCGAAAACCUAAGGUUUCCUGCGUCAAGUUAAUCUGCGCAGGGUUAGUCUGUACCUAAGGCGAGGGCGAGAGCCGUAGUCGAUGGAAAUCCGGUUAAUAUUCCGGAACUGAGUAACAGUGCUGUGGGGUGACGCAAUAGGGUAAGCAAGACGGCUGAUGGAUGCCGUUGAAUUAAACAGCCCGUCGCUUUGGUAAAUCCGGGCGACACAAGGGUAAAUAAGAGGACGAAAGUACAGAACUUCGGUUCUGGAACAAGUUGCUGACCCCAAUUGCCAAGAAAAGCCUCGUUCAGCUCAACUGUUAAUUAGCAGUACCGCAAACCGACACAGGUAGGUGGGAUGAGAAUUCUAAGGUGCUUGUGAGAACCCUCGUUCAGGAACUCGGCAAAUUAUAUCCGUAACUUCGGGAGAAGGAUAGCCGUGUUCACUAAGAACAUGGUCGCAGAGAAAUGUUCCAGGCGACUGUUUAACAAAAACACAGGUCUCCGC
rnacentral:rRNA from 1 species